UUUGAUGGUGGCUCAGAUUGAACGCUGGCGGCAGGCCUAACACAUGCAAGUCGAGCGGUAACAGAUUGAUAGCUUGCUAUCAAUGCUGACGAGCGGCGGACGGGUGAGUAAUGCCUGGGAAUAUACCCUGAUGUGGGGGAUAACUAUUGGAAACGAUAGCUAAUACCGCAUAAUCUCUUGUCUUUUACGAGAUGGGAGCAAAGAGGGGGACCUUCGGGCCUCUCGCGUCAGGAUUAGCCCAGGUGGGAUUAGCUAGUUGGUGGGGUAAUGGCUCACCAAGGCGACGAUCCCUAGCUGGUCUGAGAGGAUGAUCAGCCACACUGGAACUGAGACACGGUCCAGACUCCUACGGGAGGCAGCAGUGGGGAAUAUUGCACAAUGGGGGAAACCCUGAUGCAGCCAUGCCGCGUGUAUGAAGAAGGCCUUCGGGUUGUAAAGUACUUUCAGUUGUGAGGAAGGCGUUGGAGUUAAUAGCUUCAGCGCUGACG
rnacentral:rRNA from 1 species